UAAUUAAAAAUAAUAAAAAAAAAAUUAUAAAAAACUUAGCUUGUUAUCUGGUGCGGCUGGCGUGUGAAGAGUAUGGUACACCUGCAAGCCUGGGUACGUUGGAUUGAAAGAGCAUGAGAUCUGAUGGUUGUUAUGAUGGGUGCGCAUGACAUGUGUGAGGUAGCAACACAUUUGAUCCAAAGUUGUGGGCAGAGAAUCGCGCGCGCCUUUUUGAUUCAAAUGAGUCAAUGGUUGCCCGCCACCUCAUCAUCUUCUUCAUGGAAUUUCUGAAAUACAUCUUUUACAGCGCAUAUUACCAGAGCGCUGUAAAUACUCGAAGCUAUUACAUCUGCAAAAAACAUGGAAACCACAAAACGAAACAAAAAUAUUUCGCGACCCUAUGGUUGCGAUCGUCCAGAGAUUGCGAAUCCACUGGUGCUGGUGUUGAGCCCUAAUUUUACCUAGGAUAAAAAGCCCCAAUUUGAAGAUUCGAACCCUAACAUGGUAUAUCAUAUAAUCGGGCAUGAAAACACUAUUAAAGUUCCAGAAUCCACAAGAACACGAACAUGAUUAUGAAUAUGCAAACGAAAUUCAAUGGUAAUGCAUAAAUUAUUGGAAUCGAAGCAUUUUAGAAAUAAGCAAACUGUGAUCAAUUAGGAGUAAUUCUGUGUGUUUGAAGGCUGGGUGAUGAUCCAGAAAGCUUCCACGAUCUUCACUGAACGUAUUAGGAUCUUUGAAUCUCUCUGAAUUGUUCUCUAUUGCCAAAACCGAAUUCAAGUUUUCUUUCUAAAAUUGAUCAAUUCCAAUCUUUUUGAUUCAAAUCCCCUAUGCACGAAUUUUAUACGAUUAUAGGACAUUAUUGAUGAUUGAAUUGAUUAAAAAAUAUAACUAAAUCAAAUCUUUUCAAAUUUCUUUGAUUUACUUGAUUUAAAUCAUAUUUUUAAUGAAUAGAAAUUCAAUAAAAAUCAAAUAAUUGUCAAAAAUUCGUGGCAUUGGUCUUGGAUCUUCUAGAUGACUUGGGGAGCAAGAUUGGGCCAUAAAAACUUGGGCUCCUUUGCAAAAGAAAUCAAUUUGAGGCCUAUUAUUUCACAUUUUCCCUCUCAAAUUUGUCCAACUUUGACAAGGCAUAUCUCCCUCAAUUUUUGAGGUAUGGAGGAGUUCUAGGACUUUUUAGAAACCUUGAAGAGUCCUCUAACCAGUGUUUUUGGUCUCAUGUCAAAAUAAUUUUCCAUGCUCUUUGUGUGUUCUUUUGAAAAAAAUGACUUUUGGUUGACCUUUGAAAAGAACCUAUAAUGUUUUGGUCCAUAUCUCUCCAAUGAAGCAUUUUUAGACUUGGCUUGGGAGACAAAAAAGUGUAGAGAAUCAAAUUUCCUUCAAAAUGAGCUUUGGAUGGAAAAUUUCUGAUGUUCCAUGUGAGAGUUAUGGCUGGUCAAAGUUCAGUUGACUUUCUCCUAUGAAAACCCUAAUUUAGAAACUUUUGGAAUUGUUGAUUUCUGAUCCUUUCUUGAUGAACCAUGAUCAAUUCUUGAUAAAAUGGUGAAUGAUACUUCAAAAUAAGGAUGUUGACCAAAAAUCAGGAGUUUUGACUGUACUUUGACCAUAGUGGACUUUUAGGUCAAACUAGUCGACUAUUGACUUUCUGAACAAUUAAGUGAUCAAUCUUUUGAAUUGAGCCCUGAAUUUCGGCAUGGAGGUAGUUUGAAACAUCAUAAACCAUAUGAGAUGCCUUGGAGCUUUUGAUCCAGUGAUUUUCUUCAAGGAACCAUAAACCCUAGUUUCUUGAGCCUUUGUUUAGGAGAGAUGCCUUUGAGCUUUGUACCUUGAUUUGAAUUUGAACAAGAGAAAUAGUAUGGGCAAAUUUUGGGGUAUGACACCACCAAAACAACUUUUUCAAAUCAUGAUACAUCUUGGUAGCACCAGGAUGAAUACUUAACCCACUACGGUGUCCUUCUUCCAGAAUACGCUUUCGGAGUUCAGCAACAUUAGGAACACAAACUCGAUCACCAAACCUCAAUAUACCAUUCCCGUCGAUUCUGAAUUCACCGCCCUUGCCCUGGUUAAUCAAGGUCAACUUAUCAAUUAAUUCAACAUCAGCUUUCUGAACCUCUCUGAUCUCUUCAAGAAUACCGCUGGUCAGCUUCAGCGUACCCAAUUUAACACUAGUAGGAGUACCUUCACACACCAAACUCAAGUCUCUGAAUUGUUCAAUCAAAUCCAAUUCCUUCACCAUUAGCAUAUACAUAUGCAAAGUCUUCCUACUCAAUGCGUCAGCAACCACGUUUGCCUUACCCGGAUGGUAAUUCAAACCAAAAUCAUAAUCUUUAAGGAAUUCUAACCAUCUUCUCUGCCUCAUAUUCAGCUCUUUCUGAUCGAAGAGAUACUUUAGACUCUUAUGAUCACUGAAUACCUCAAAUCUCAAACCAUACAAAUAGUGUCACCACAAUUUCAAAACAAAAACCACAGCUGCUAACUCCAAAUCAUGAGUCGGAUAAUUCCUUUCAUGCACUUUAAGUUGUCUCGACGCAUAAGCGACCACUUGUUGAUUCUGGAUCAAUACACCACCUAAACCCAUCAACGAAGCAUCAUAAUAAACCACAAACGAUUCUGUCGGAUUCGGCAAAAUCAAGAUAUGAGCACUAGUCAACCUCCUCUUCAGUUCUUGGAAUCCUUCUUCACAUUUUGCAUCCCAAAUAAAAGCCUGUCCCUUCCUGGUUAAUUUAGUUAACGACAAUGCUAACUUCGAAAAUCCUUCAAUGAACUUUCUGUAGUAACCUGUAAGACCAAGAAAACUACAAAUUUUUGACACUGACUUCGGAGCUUCCCACUGAGAUACAACUUCUAUCUUUGUAGGAUCGACCGCAAUACCAUUCUUAGAAAUCACAUAUCCAAGAAAACUGACCUCUUCCAACCAAAAUUCACACUUCGACAGUUUGGCAAAAAGUUGCUUCUCUUUCAACAGCUCUAACACAGUUCUGAGAUGUUCUGCAUGCUCCUCUUCGCUCUUAGAAUAUAUCUGGAUAUCAUCUAUAAAUACUACUAUGAACUUGUCGAGAUAGGGAUGAAAGAUCCUGUUCAUAUACUCCAUAAAAACACCAGGUGCAUUAGUAACUCCGAACGGCAUUACAGAAUACUCUUAAUGUCCAUACCUUGUUAUAAAAGUAGUCUUCUGAAUAUCGUCAUCUUUCACCUGAAUUUGGUGAUAUCCAGACCUCAGAUCAAUCUUACUAAACAUGCGCGCCCCGACCAGUUGAUCCAUCAAAUCAUCAAUCCUCGGCAAUGGAUACCGAUUCUUGAUAGUAACCUUGUUCAAUUGUGUGUAAUCCACACACAGCCUCAUUGGACCCUCUUUCUUCUUCACUAACAAUACAGGCGCACCCCACAGAGAAACAUUAGGACGGAUGAAUUUCUUCUCAAGCAAUUCUUCCAACUGCUUAUUCAGUUCAGCCAACUCGGACGGAGACAUACGGUACGGUGCCAUCGACACCAUACUAGUUCCCGGAACCAAAUCAAUAGAAAACUCUACUUCUCUUUCCGGUGGCAAUUCAUUCACAUCUUCCGGAAAAACUUCUGGAAAAUCACAUACCACUGGUAGUUCGUUACUCGCCACUUUUUCUUUCAAAUUCAUCAAUGCGAACAACAUAAACACUGUUGCACCAUCCUCGAUAGCUUCAUUCACCUGUCUAGCUGUCAUUUCCAGAUUAUCAGAACUAACCUCUUCAGGAAAAAUUACCGUCUUCGCAAAACAGUUGAUAUGAACACAGUUGAAUUCCAACCAGUUCAUUCCCAGAAUUACAUCGAGUUGUUUCAACGGAAGGCACACUAAGUCCAUCCCGAAUUCUCUACCAAAAAUGUCAACCGAACAAUUCAAGCAUGCAGGCGAAGUAGUUACUGAACCCGACGCAGGAGUGUCAAUAACCAUACUUCCAUUUAUAUCAGAUAUCUCUAGAUUCAACCUCUCAGCACAAUUCAAAGAAAUAAAACAAUUAGUUGCUCUAGUAUCAAUAAUCGCAGCUAAAGGUGUGCCAUGAAUGAAACACGUACCUUUAAUCAAUCUGUCUUCUGGAGUAGUCUCUGACCCGGUCAAAGCAAAAACCUUUCCUCCCGAUUGGUUCUUCUUUGGCUUGGCACAAUUCGGACUAAUGUGACCCUCUUCGCCACAGUUGUAACAAGUCACAACCUUCUUCUUACAAUCAGCAGCAAUAUGGCCCACUUGGUCACACUUGUAACACUUCUUCUGAUCAAGCUUACACUCGUUCCUACGAUGUCCCAUCUCACCACAAUUAUAACAUCUGAUACGAGAACUGGAAUAUCCCCCACUGGGUUUCUUCCAAUCAGCAGGUUUACCUCUACCAUAUGGCUUACCUCUAUCCAUAUGUUUCUUCCCCUUUCUGUCAACCAACUCGCGAGAGUGAGAUGACUUCAGCUUAAUGUUAUCCUCUUCAAAAAUCCUGCUACAGUCUACUAAGUCAACAAACCUCCGAAUCCUCUGGUACCUAAUGCCCUGCUUGAUCUCAUCACGAAGACCAUUCUCAAAUUUUACACAUUUUGAAAACUCACUAGCUUCAUCAUUAUUGUAGUGCACAUAGUACUUUGCUAGCUCCACAAACUUUGCAGCAUACUCUGGUACCGUCAUAUUACCUUGAACCAGUUCUAGAAAUUCAAUCUCUUUUCUACCUCUAACAUCCUCAGGAAAAUACCUUCUCAGAAAUUCCCUUUUGAAUAUAGCCCAGGUAAUUUCUAUACCAUCAGCAUCCAGUUCAGCUCUGGUGGCCAACCACCAGUCAUCAGCUUCCUCAGACAGCAUAUGUGUGCCAUACCUCACCUUGAGAUUCUCAGCACAAUCGAUGACUCUGAAAAUUCUCUCGAUCUCCUUUAGCCAUUUCUGAGCACCUUCAGGAUCAUGCGUGCCUUUGAACAAUGGAGGAUUGUUCCUCUGAAAAUUCCCCAGUUGCCUUUCAGCACCAAUCCCUGCUCCUACAGCAUUUCCUCCAAGCACACCAGCAAUCAUGCCCAGAGCCUCAGCGAUGGCAUCAUCGUUUCUUCCACCUCUUCCAGCCAUUGUUCUGCUUAAUCACAGACAAUCCAGUCCGAACAAAAGUAUCGACGAAUAGCUCGUACUAGUCGCAUACACAGGAAAGACUGACACUAAGACUCUGGUCACAACAACCGACUAUGCUCUGAUACCACUAUUGCAACACCCCUCUAAUACCCCGCGGAAAUUAAACAAAUAUUAAUCAGAGUAACAUGUAAAGAGGCGCCACAAUUCAUAAAUAAAAGAAAACACACGUUCGGCAUAUGUCAUGCAUUCACUGAAAACAUCUGCAUUAUAACUCAUUAGAUAAAAACCAUGUUUACACAGCGAAAUUGAAUCAACAAGUCAACAUUACAUCCUAAAUGUAUCAGACUUCAACAAUAAACAAAUAGAGUUAUAAUCAAAACUCAAAACAUCGCGUUCCCAGUGUUACAUCUAUCAGAGCAUGACACCGACACAACAACUAGACCGACUUAUGAGCUAAUCCUCACCAAGUCGCGCCACUAUCCUCAAUCUGAAAAUGACAACAAGUAAGGGUGAGUCUCAUCACAGUUAACCAAUGUUAUUGCAUCAUAAAUAACAAUAUAUCAUAGUUAUAUCAUUCACCCAAUCGUUUCAUAUUCAGACACAUCAUCGUCACACAUUCACAGACAUCAAGUCAUCACAUAACAUAUAUUAAUAAUGUUACAAAAAUCAUGCAUAUGUAUGAAACUAACACUAUGCAUGUGGUACCAAUAUCAUCAAUGGGAAAACCCACCGAUCGAUCUAUCAUCAUCCAGAUACGGCCCUACCAGCACAAAUUCCACACAAUGGGAAUCUUGCCCUUCACUGCAUCCUCUCAUCAUUAGGAUACAACCCUCAUCAAAUGAUUAUGAAUGCAUGCAAACAUAUAUACAACAUACUAUCAUCAUCAUCAUACUAUGAGUAGCAUCAUCUUAUACUCAUUUCAUCAUCAUUCAUCAUCAUCAUCAUCAUUUAACAAGUAUGUUCAAUACAUAUAUAAUUGCAUCAUUCAAUAAAUCAAACAACAAUAUUUCAUACAGAUUCAUCAGUUUAAAGUCAUACGUCGUCAGACUUUCAAAUAUCACAAAACAGCAAAAUCUGCAGGUCACGCUGGCCAUACGCGUACCAUACGUGUACCAACAAGGCCAGAAUUUCACAAAAACACACACCAUACGCGUAUGAUACGCAUAUGAUGUUGUUUUACGUGGAAAUGUGAUUUUGUUCAUACGCGUAUGGUGUGUGUUUCAAAUGAAGAGAGAUGACUGAUCAACAAAGAUUGCUCUCCAUUCACAACAACCAACUUUCCAUUCUUCACAAAUUUUAUUUUCUAAUGCAGGGAGGAAGUAACUGCUCCAGCUUCGUGAAUCCAUGGGCGUCCCAACAAGCAACUGUAUGUUGGAAAGAUAUCCAUCACUUGAAAAGUGACCUGAAAAAUAAAUGGACCAAUACAAAUGGGCAAAUCAACUUCCCCAACCACGGACUUCUUUGAUCCAUCAAAAGCUUUCACUAUCACAUUGCUAUACCUCAUUGGCGUGCCUCUAGAAGACAACUUAGCAAGAGUAGAUUUCAACAUAACAUUCAGCGAUGAACUCGUAUCAAUCAACACAUUUGAAGCGAAUCUUCUUCGCAACUAACAGAGAUGUGUAAGGCCAGAUUGUGAUUUCUUCCUUCCUCAGGCGAAUCCUCAUCAUUGAAACUCAAAUUGUUACACGCAGUAAUAUUACUCACUACUCCAUCAAACUGAUCCAAGGUCAUGUGAUGGUCCAUAUAGAUAUGGUCUAUCUCAUAGUGUAAUAGUUCUAACCCUAUUAUAAUUUGAACAUCUCCUUGUACAGCAGCACAUCCCAAAGGAUCCUUCUGACGCAUAGGACAACUGUCAUGGCUAAAGUCAAUCAAUCCCUUCUGGACAAGCCUCUCAUGUAUCUUCGUCAACGAUCCUCGUAAGGUACAGAUAUCAGGCACACGACAAUAUCUUGAACCAUGCUCAACCAUAUUGAUAGUGGACUCUCCAUUAGGAGGUAAAAUAUUGUUCCUCACAUUGGGACCAACAUCACAAAAUGACAAAAUACUAGCACGAACCAAUCUUUGAACUUCGGACAGCAAUCCUCUAAACCAUGUCCAGGGGCAUUCUGAUGAAAAGCACAAGUAACGUCAGCUUUGUACUACCAAGGGAUCUUAUCUAGAACUAGAGGUGGUGACCUCGUUUGGACCAAAUUCUUCCGAAUCAAAGCAGGGAACAACUCUGUGUAGGUCAUGGGGAUAAGAUCGAAAUUAUUUUGCGAAUACGGAUUUCAUCUUUCUUGCUGUUGAUUAGCAGGAGCUACAUGAGCUGCAUUCAUAAUGGGAGUUACUGACGCAACCUGUUGAGAUUGAUAACCAGAUUUUCCCUUAGAUCGAAUAUUCCUUCCAUGAGAAACUGCAUUAGCAUCUGAUUCUUUCUUCUUCUGAAAAGACGAGCCAUAUUUCUUUGUACUGCCAGAUGUAAUUUCAUUCCGAACCAGAUGACCUUGUCUCAUAGCUUAUUCAAGUCUAACAACCAUACCACCAUCUCAGUGAAAUUUACAGGAGCACUUGUAACCAUCCUCUCAUAAUAAAAUGAGCUAAGAGUUUUAAAGAAAAUCUUAGUCAUUUCUUUCUCUUCCAUGGGAGUAAUCACCUGGGCGGCUACUUCACGCCAUCUCUGAGCAUAUUCCUUAAAGGAUUCAUUCUCUUUUUGAGCCAUGGCUCUCAGCUUAUCACGAUCAUAAGCCAUAUCCAUAUUAUACUUGUUUUGCUUAACGAAUGCUUCUUCCAAAUCAUUAAAAGUGCGAAUAUGGGUACUAUCAAGGCCUAUGUACCACUUGGAAGCAUCUCCAGUCAAUCUGUCCUGGAAAUAAUGGAUCAAUGGACGUUGAUCAUCAGUGUGGGUUGAUAUCUUCCUCAUGUACAUUACUAGAUGAGCCUGAGGAUAUGAACUUCCUUUUGUACUUUUCAAAUUCCGAUAUCUUGAACUUAGCAGGUACCUUCACAUUUGGAACAAGACAUAGGUCAUGCACGUCUUUCCCAAAUAAUUAUUUCCCACGAAGGGUCUUCAUCUCUUUCUGUAACUCUUCAAACUGGUCUUGGAAUACAUCCAUUCUGUCGUAGAUACCCAAACAGUCACUUGGUGCAACAUCAUAAAUGGGAUCUGGAACAAAAGGACCAGUAUGCACGAUAGGAGGUGUAGUGACCAUGAUAGGUGUCAGAGGACGAGUCACUUCAAGAGAAGACAUAUAAAUUUCAAGCAUACCCAGAGAUACCCAUUGGGCAUACGUUGCUAAGUGACAUUAUCAGUUGGAAUUACAGGAAUUAUCAUAGAAAUAAUCUAUGAGAUCACAGUAGUUUGUGCUUGCGGUACUCUCGAAAGCAAGACAAAAAUGCGACAUGAUGUAUAAAAUGCAAUUCAAUUGGUUUGUAUUUUUAUUAGUUUUCAAGGGACUUAAAGAUGUUAAUUAUAAACAUCACAAAGAUAAUACAGUCAAAUAUAACAGAAAAACUCUCUUUUUAUUAAUAAGGAAAGGAUUACAAAGGUUCGAAGUACAAUGCUUCAUAGAAUCCUAAACAAAACAAAAAGGAACAGAAAAAGAAAAAGCUAGCAUCUAAGGUCUUGAAUGAACUGCGCCUGAUGAAGAACCAACUCCUCUUUGCAACUUCUUGUUGAGCUUCUCCAAUUCACCUUCAUAAAAGGACUUCAUAUGAGUCCUCUUGUUUCCUCUUCUGCUUCUCACCAUGUUGUUUAAGUAAUGCUUUUUUAUGACGAAUUUGAUCAUCCUUCUCCAUGAGCCAACCAUCUUGGAGAUAAAGCAUAUCAACCUUUUCCUUCAACUACUUCUUCAACUCUUCCUGCUCAAUAUCCGAAACAUGGAAUUUCUUCUCCCAAGUAUCUCUCUAGCUUCGUCCUCUCCGCCCUUGGUAUUCUUCCUUAUUCUCAAUGUGAAUAAUGGAAGAUGAAGAUGGAGCAACAGGUAGGGAGGGUUCCUAAAGGAUAUAAGGCAUCUUAAGCGUACGAGCUCUAACUUGAACCCAAUCAGUAUAAGCCUUGAGAGUAAUACAUUGCUUCUUUCCCAACUGGUUCCUCCUAUCAAUAUGGUGCCAAGCACACACAAACCGAUUCCUCAUAUCUAACUGUUCAUCCCUAUUGUGGUAAAAGAUUUCUGACACACGAAUGCUAGAGGGUCGAUCUCUCAUAGGAUAUCCAAACUGACGCCUAGCAAGAACGGGAUUAUUGGUAAUUCCUCCUUGUAUACCAAUAAGAGGUACAUUGGAGAAUUCCCUACAAUUAUCAAUAAUCACACCAGUGUCAUAAGCAGGAUUAUACCAAGUAAUAUUACCCUGAGUGAGAGGCAUAAUCUUCUGAGACCAUCAGAAACUAUCAGUGAAAUUCUGGUAUCAGAUAUGUGAUGUCGAAUGAGAUGUCACGACACAAAUAUUUGAUGACGAAACUAAUAGAACAUAUCAGUUGAUGUUGCAUUAGAUAUGGAUGUGUUGCUAUCGGUACUUGACAUUGUUUUAGAGACAACAUUGCUGCGAGAUGCAAUAAGAUCAUUUGUUGCAUGGCCUUCGGACCUUAUUUUCAUAGAUGAUGAGGUAUGUUGGAAACCAUUAUGAAUCUUUUAGUAUUCAAAUUUCAAUUCUGAACCAUUACGUACAUUUUUAUUACAUGUUAAUUUUAGACUCUUACAAAACCCGCAUCUAAGGAUAAAGUGAUUUUGCGGCACAACGAGUCUGUUGCAUCACAAAAUGAGGUGCAUUUAAAGUUUUCAUUAUAUGAUCCGAAUUCAAAAAUGCAUGAUUUUAUAAUUUACCUAAGUAAUAUGAUUUUUAUGUACCUGCUCAAGAAUCACAACAAUUGAACCAGGAAAUUAGUAGCGUACUCAACAAGAAAAAGAAUCUUCCAAGAACCGUGACAAGAAAAGCUUUUGUACCUCGAUUCCGGAUGUGUCUUGAAACACUUGUGGGAACAUCAGAUUUGAUGAAUGGUGCUAUUCGUCAAAUGAAUAUGGAGGAAGGUAUCUUUGGUUUUUCUUGCUCCAAAACAAUUGCAAAAGAGGAAAUGGAACAGAUUUUUCAGCAUACAGAAUUAGGCAUCGGUGUUGUAAACUCAUACGUCCGGUUCUUGUAUGAAAAAUUGAUGCGCGGGAAUCAAUUGUCAAACAGAUUCUAUUUCGUGUCUUCCUCCUGUGUCAAUGGAGCAUCAAUUGUUAAGGAUCCAGAUUCAGUAAGAUAUCACUUAGUUGAGAGAUUCAUGACCAGCAUUACAGAAAGCUUGUAUCUUUUACCAUAUAAUACUAUUCCUGUAGGGUUAGUACUUUAUUCUAAGUUCAUUCUAAUCUUUGUAUCUUUUGUGUUGAAAAUUUCCAUCUAAACUUUUGUUUUAAUUUAUAGACGUCACUAGUUGUUGGUUGCUAUUGAUCCUUUCAAAUAAGUGGUGUAUUAUUUGAAUUCGGUAGAUGGUGAUUGGAUAACUUAUCCAGAUAUGAAGUUAAUGAUUGAUACAUCAAUACAAGAAUUCCGCUCUCAAAGAGAAGUUCAAGUAUCACGGUCUAGAUCAAACAACAUUACAUGGAUCAAAGUGGAGUACUUUAUGAAUACAAGUGUGCUCAUUACACGAAAAAUCAAUUGGAAGAAAUCAAGGAGGAAUUGCGUGAAUACUUUAUUGAGAAAAGAAUCAUAUAAGGACCUUUAAUUGUGUUGGAGCCAAGUUAGUUUAAUUGACCGUGUUGUUCUGUUCAUACCUUGCAGGACCAGGACCAUCCGCUCGUCGGAUUCUGGCAAUUUCGGGCUGAUUUAGUUAGUGUUAGGGCUGAUUUUGUUAUUGGUAGGGAUGACUUUAUUAUUGUUAGGGCUUAUUUUGGUUCUGUUGCAAACAUGUGAAUUGAAUU